UACAGAGGUCCCAAGCGUUGUUCGGAUUCACUGGGCGUAAAGGGUGCGUAGGUGGCGAGGUAAGUCGGACGUGAAAGCUCGGAGCUCAACUCCGAAAUGGCGUUGGAAACUGCCUUGCUCGAGGGUUGGCGGGGGGACUGGAAUGCUUGGUGUAGCAGUGAAAUGCGUAGAUAUCAAGCGGAACACCAGUGGCGAAGGCGAGUCCCUGGACAACUCCUGACACUGAGGCACGAAAGCUGGGGGAGCAAACAGG
rnacentral:rRNA from 1 species